CUCCCAGAUCUAGCGAACCUUCCCACGCCCCACUCCCUCUCCAAUCCAGCCACCCACCCCGCUGGCGCCGGCACGCCCCCGCCCAGGGAACCAGCCGUCGUGCCUCUCCCGCCCCGGGUACUGGCCGCCGCGCCGUCCGCCGCCCAGAGAAUCGACCGCCGUGUCGCCCCUUCCUUGUAUUGGGCCGCCGCCGGGGAUCACGCCGCCGAUGCUGCUGCCUUCGCCCUCCACGGAUCACGCCGCCGCCGCCGCCACCCUCCCCGGAUCGCGCCACCAACAUCCGCCGCUAGCUACUGCUGCCUCCGCAGUCCUCCGCUAGCUGCCGCUGUAGUCCACUGCUAGCUCAGGCGGGGGAGGCAGUACUUAUCCGGCUACCCCUGCGUCACCUGUUGCCACACUGAACAGCGUCCGGACACCACCACGGAUUGCCCCUGGUGCUGCUCGAACUUCUCCAUGCUGGCGACUGGUCGCUCUAACUUCCCCUUGCCAGCCAUUGUGGGCCUCUGUAAACUCUCAUGGCGGCUCCUCCUCCGUUGUAGUACAAGCGAGGUCAACUGCAGCUCGAUGGAGACGCAAAAAUUGGUGGUCAUCGGCCUGUCCUAGCGCACGGACGUGCUGUACGCCUUGGCCGUCUCUUUCCUGGUGACGAGCGUGACGGUGACGCCGCAUCCCGCAUUACAACCUGGCGCCACCCUCCGCCCGAACUAUGCCGGCAGCGCGUCUGAAGACCUCGUCCGUCCUUGAGCACCUGUUCCACGCAAUCAGACGCACAUACACAGACACAGCUGUACCCCGUAUACUUGAGCUUCAGAGCUUCUGAACUCUCUGAAUUUGUGUGCAUGUUUUCUUUAUUCUGUCAUUGCAUAGCUCCACCACUCAAUCUGAAAAUUUAGUCAAUGCUUAUACUUGAUAAAAAACAGCAAGAAACAGUGA